rnacentral:rRNA from 1 species
AUUGAACGCUGGCGGUAUGCUUUACACAUGCAAGUCGAACGGCAGCAUGGGUGCUUGCACCUGAUGGCGAGUGGCGAACGGGUGAGUAAUGUAUCGGAACAUAUCCGCAAGUGGGGGAUAACGUAGCGAAAGUUACGCUAAUACCGCAUAUUCCCUGAGGGGGAAAGGAGGGGAUCCGCAAGGACCUUUCGCUUACGGAGUGGCCGAUAUCAGAUUAGCUAGUUGGUGAGGUAAAGGCUCACCAAGGCGACGAUCUGUAGCGGGUCUGAGAGGAUGAUCCGCCACACUGGGACUGAGACACGGCCCAGACUCCUACGGGAGGCAGCAGUGGGGAAUUUUAGACAAUGGGGGCAACCCUGAUCCAGCCAUGCCGCGUGAGUGAAGAAGGCCUUCGGGUUGUAAAGCUCUUUCAGCCGGAAAAAAAUCGCAUCACCUAAUACGUGGUGUGGAUGGUGGUACCGGAAGAAGAAGCACCGGCUAACUACGCGCCAGCAGCCGCGGUAA